rnacentral:rRNA from 1 species
UACAGAGGUCCCGAGCGUUGUUCGGAUUCACUGGGCGUAAAGCGCACGUAGGCGGUCUUUUAAGUCGGAGGUGAAAUCCUGGAGCUCAACUCCAGAACUGCCUUCGAUACUGGAAGACUUGAGUCCGGGAGAGGUGAGUGGAACUGCGAGUGUAGAGGUGAAAUUCGUAGAUAUUCGCAAGAACACCAGUGGCGAAGGCGGCUCACUGGCCCGGUACUGACGCUGAGGUGCGAAAGCGUGGGGAGCAAACAGG